GCCUAGUUCGUCUUUACUAUAAGAUGUUUCUCAAGCCUAAAACGGAGGCAGGCUGGUUCAUCACCAGAAACAUGGAAAAUAUUUUGACUAGAGAUAUUGGUUUGUGUCCUUGGUUUUAAAUCUUUCUUCUUUUGCACAGAGAAUUAAUGAGCAGAGCUGCCUGGAAGCUACUUGUGAUCAGAUACUUCCCUGAUCUUUGGAUGUGUUGUGCUGAAACCUGUCUAGUCACCAGGAUGGAGAGAUGAAGAGAUGAUGAUAAGUGAGAUAAAUCGUGACAGUUUCUGGACCACAUGAAAUAGCAAGAAGAAAUGACUCGGAUGUGAUCCAUGGUGGUGGCAGGGAAUCACCUAAGUGCAAGCCAGGUUCCAAGUGACCAGUGGGAAAGACCUGAAGUGUGGCCACACCUCUUCCUUGCAUACUCCAGCCCAGAGACAUGUGGCCUGGGAUCAGAAGAGAUCAGGAAGGAGAGAGAAAGAGCGAGGGACUCAGUUCAGAAGCCAGCAUAAGCCUCCGGUCUUCUCUGCUUUCCGGUUGGGUUCUCUUCUGGAUGGGUGUGUGGCAGAGCGGCAGGUGUAAGGCCUGGCUCGGUCUCAGCAUCACUUUCUUCAAAGUUCUCUUGGAUUUUUUUUUUUUUUUUGGCCUUUACCCUCAGAAAAUUAAAAUGUUCUCAUUAAAUCACGAUGAUCCAUCCACCCUUCCAUCUAGCCACUUGUCUAAUUAAUCACCUGCCUAUCUAUCCAUCUGCCCAGCUAUUAAACAGUUACUUAGCACUUACCCACUCAGAAAAUCACUCACCGUAUCAGGUGUUGGAGGAGACUGAAGGAUGACUCAG
rnacentral:lncRNA from 1 species